UACGGGGGGGGCAAGCGUUGUUCGGAAUUACUGGGCGUAAAGGGUGCGUAGGCGGCUUUCUAAGUUGGAUGUGAAAACUAUGGGCUCAACCCAUAGCCUGCAUCCAAAACUGGAGAGCUUGGGUUCUGGAGGGGAAAGCGGAAUUCCUGGUGUAGCGGUGAAAUGCGUAGAUAUCAGGAGGAACACCGGUGGCGAAGGCGGCUUUCUGGACAGAUACCGACGCUGAGGCACGAAAGCUAGGGGAGCGAACGGG
rnacentral:rRNA from 1 species